GCCGCCGGCUGUGGGGCUGUCGGAACUCGGUGGCCGCGUUCCGUGACGCCCCUGCCUGGCUCUCCCGGUGCUCUCGGGGCUGGCGGCGACUCGCCGCUGCUGCAGCGGGCCCAGGGCGUGCGGCCUGGAUUUUUCUGUGACGUCUUAAGCAUGAGCCCCACACGGUGGGACUUUCCUGUGGAAUUAUGUUGUCGGCCAAUGGCUUUUGUUACACUUACUGGCCUUGAUGUAGUUUAUAAUGCUGUGCAUCGAGCAGUCUGGGAUGCUUUCUGUGCCAAUCGGAGAGCUGAUCGGGUACCAAUUUCUUUCAAGGUGCUCCCAGGUGACCAUGAAUAUCCAAAAUGUAGAUCUAAGAGAGCGUCGUACGAGUGGUACAUUCCCAAAGGGAUCCUGAAGACCGGCUGGAUGAAUAAGCAUCUGAACCUGGUGCCGGCUCUGGUGGUUGUGUUCUAUGAACUGGACUGGGAUGAGCCUCAGUGGAAAGAAAAGCAGUCUGAGUGCGCGACCAGGGUGGAAAUCGUCAGGCAGAGUUUGCAAGGGAGAAACACAAAGGUCGCAGUCGUCCUGAUUCAAAAGAAAGCACCUCUGCCUCCAGGAGAAGACGUCAUUGCCUCAGAGCGGGCUGCAGCUUUAUGCAAUGUGUGUGAACUCUCAGGCAAGUCUCUGUUUGUGCUGCCCCACACUGACCACCUUGUGGGCUACAUUAUAAGGUUAGAAAACGCAUUUUAUGAACAUGCCCAGACCUAUUACUACACCGAGAUCAGAAGAGUGAAAUCUCAUAAAGAAUUUUUGAAUAAAACAACACACCAGCUCUUGUUUGUUAGGCAUCAGUUCAAAAUCGCUUUCUUCAGUGAGCUGAAGCAGGACACACAGAAUGCUCUGAAGAAUUAUAGGACUGCCUAUAACCUUGUACAUGAAUUGAGAGCCCAUGAAACUAAUAUUCUGGAAAUUAAGACGAUGGCAGGAUUUAUAAACUACAAGAUUUGUAGGCUGUGUUUUCAGCACAACACCCCACUGGAUGCAAUUGCUCAGUUUCGGAAGCACAUUGACUUGUGUAAGAAAAAGAUUGGAAGUGCAGAGCUGGCGUUUGAGCAUGCUGCAUGGAUGUCUAAACAAUUUCAGGCCUUUGGAGAUUUGUUUGAUGAAGCCAUUAAGUUGGGGUUGACAGCUAUUCAGACACAGAACCCUGGUUUCUACUAUCAGCAGGCAGCUUACUAUGCGCAGGAGCGGAAACAGCACGCCAAAGCCCUCUGUGAUCAUGAUGCCUCUGUGAUGUACCCCAGUCCUGAUCCCUUAGAAACACAAACAGGUGUUCUUGACUUCUAUGGACAGAGACCCUGGAGGCAAGGAAUCCUAAGCUUUGAUCUUUCUGACCCCGACAAAGAGAAAGCGGGCAUUCUCGCCAUUCAGCUGAAGGAAAGAAGUGUUGUCCACUCUGAGAUCGUAAUCACUCUUCUGAGCAAUGCUGUCGCACAGUUCAAGAAGUACAAGUGUCCCCGGAUGAAGAGCCACCUCAUGGUUCAGAUGGGAGAGGAAUAUUAUUAUGCCAAGGACUAUACCAAAGCUCUGAAGCUGCUGGAUUACGUCAUGUGUGACUACCGGAGCGAAGGGUGGUGGACUCUGCUCACCUCCAUACUGACAACAGCUCUCAAGUGUUCCUACCUCAUGGCCCAGUUAAAGGAUUACAUUACUUAUUCUCUAGAACUCCUUGGAAGAGCUUCAACUCUGAAAGAUGAUCAGAAGUCCCGGAUAGAGAGGAACCUCAUGAACGUUUUAAUGAAUGACAGCCCUGACCCUGAACCUGACUGUGAUGCCUCAGCUAUGAAGACUGCUCAGAAGCUGUGGGCUGACCGGGUCUCCCUGGCUGGAAGCAAUGUUUUCACAAUAGGCGUACAGGAGUUCGUGCCAUUUGUACAAUGCAAAGCCAAGUUUCACGCUCCGAGUUUUCACGUGGAUGUUCCUGUUCAGUUUGAUGUUUAUCUGAAGGCUGACUGUCCACACCCCAUUAGGUUUUCCAAGCUCUGUGUCAGCUUCAAUAAUCAGGGCUACAACCAGUUCUGUGUACUAGAAGAAGCGUCCAAAGCAAGCGAAGUCUUGGAGAAUCUGACUCAAGGAAAGAUGUGCUUAGUUCCUGGCAAAACGAGAAAGUUGUCAUUCAAAUUUGUUGCAAAAACUGAAGAUGUGGGAAAGAAAAUUGAGAUUACCUCUGUGGAUCUGGUUCUGGGCAGUGAGUCAGGCCGGUGUGUGGUUUUGAGCUGGCAGGGAGGAGGAGGAGAUGCUGCGUCCGCCCAGGAAGCCCUGCAGGCUGCAAGGUCUUUCAAAAGACGACCAAAACUUCCUGACAGUGAGGUUCACUGGGACAGCAUCACAGUCCAGGCGAGCACAAUGAUCAUUUCAAGAGUCCCAAACAUUUCUGUACACCUGCGACAUGAGCCUCCUGCCCUAAUGAAUGAGAUGUAUUGUUUGGUUGUAACUGUUCAAUCCCAUGAAAAGUCCCAAAUCAGGGAUGUGAAGCUCACUGCUGGCUUAAAGCCGGGGCAGGAUGCCAACCUAACUCAGAAAACUCACGUGACUCUUCAUGGAGCAGAGCUGUGUGAUGAGUCCUACCCCGCCUUACUCACGGACAUUCCUGUGGGAGACUUACAUCCCGGGGAGCAGCUGGAAAAAACAGUGUAUGUUCGCUGUGGAACAGUGGGCUCCAGAAUGUUCCUUGUGUAUGUUUCUUACCUGAUCAAUACAACUGUUGAAGGAAAAGAAAUUGUUUGCAAGUGUCACAAGGAUGAAACUGUAACCAUAGAAACCGUCUUUCCAUUUGAUGUCGCAGUCAGAUUCGUCUCCACAAAGUUUGAGCACCUGGAAAGAGUCUAUGCGGACAUCCCCUUCCUGCUGAUGACGGAUAUUUUAAGUGCCUCACCUUGGGCCCUCACAAUUGUGUCCAGUGAGCUGCAGCUUGCUCCAUCUAUGACUGCAAUGGAUCAUCUGGAGUCCCAGGUGGACAAAGUUGUCUUACAGACAGGAGAGAGCGCCAGUGAGUGCUUCUGUCUUCGCUGCCCGUCUGCCGGGAAUGUGGAAGGUGGAGUGGCUACCGGACAUUACAUUAUCUCCUGGAAGAGGGCCGCAGGCAUGGACAGCAUCCCAGUGAUCAGCACCGUCAUCACGCUGCCGCACGUGAUUGUCGAGAACAUCCCUCUCCACGUGAACGCAGACUUGCCCUCGUUUGGACGCGUCAGAGAGUCGCUACCUGUCAGGUAUCACUUACAGAAUAAGACUGACUUGGUACAAGAUGUGGAAAUUUCUGUGGAGCCCAGUGAUGCCUUCAUGUUCUCAGGUCUCAAACAGAUUCGAUUACGUAUUCUGCCUGGCACCAAACAGGAAAUGCUGUAUAAUUUCUACCCUCUGAUGGCGGGGUAUCAGCAGCUACCAUCGCUCAACAUCAACUUGCUUAGAUUUCCCAGCUUCACCAACCAGCUGCUCCGGCGUUUUAUACCGACCAGCAUCUUUGUGAAGGGUUUCUCUGUGUAGUCCUGGCUAUUAUGGAACUCACUGUGUAGACCAAACUGAGCUGGAACUUAAGGAUCCACUUGCCUCUGCCUCCAGAGUGCUGGGAUUAAAGCCACAGGGGCGACUCCUGGAUGACACCUCUAUUGCUGCUGCAUGAUGCCCAGGACCAGCCCUUGGCGUUCUGACAGAGGACCCAAGACGGUGCCUAGGAGACCCAUUGUGACUUGUAGCUUUGAUGAUGGUGGAAGUUAAGCUUGCCUAUUUUUUAAUGGAUAUAAUACCAGCUAUUCAGAGAAAGUCAUGCUUAAGGUAUUAAGGAAAUCAUCAUCUCGUACAGUUUAAUAAAAAUUUGAAGUCUGUCAGUGUGAUGUGAGAGGGUGUCGGGUCAUUGCUGCCAUUAGAAGUCAUGUCAUGGUCAGCACGAUGUUUCCACGGGAUGUGACUUGGCUGCCCAGCAUCAGUGGAAACAGAUACCCAGCUGUGAUUGGACAGAGGCGCUGCAUCACACCUGGCUCUGCUGGAGACGACCCAUCCCAUAAAUUCCCUGUGUGCUUAGCACAGCCCCUCAGCAAGCAUUGCAGGUCUGAGUGGUGUACAGACCUCCAGGGCUUUCUGUUGCUGUUCUGUUCCAGACAGGGUUUCUCUAUGUAGCUCUGGCUGUCCGGGGAACUCGCUGGCUCUGCGGCUGUGGAAAGGUGCCAGUGUUUUACUCACCAUCAGAAAGUUUCGAGCUUUUCUCAUGGUCAUCAUUUAUAAAACAGGUUUAUAUUCUUGAAAGGACCUGAUUAUAAACAUCAUUCCUAAACUAAGUUCUUGAGAAUGACUCAAGGUCACAUUAAGAGUUCUCAGUCACUUUACAUAAUUUCAUAAGUGCUAUUUAAAAUAUCUUUAAAUUCAUGUAAAUGAGAAAAUUAUAUGGUGAACAUUUGCUUUGUAAAAUAUUUUAAUUUAAAACUAAUUUCUUGGAAAACUUUAUUAUGUAGACUGGGCAUAUUGUAAAAAGGAAGUAGUGAUGUAAAUAAAUAUGUUCUCUUUCACAUCUGCUUGUAGAUAGCAUUGAUUUCUUUAGCUGGUUUGAUUUCAGCUGUGGGAAAUAGCCUCUACCAAGAACGCGCCGUGAGGGCACUGGGAAGCAUGGUCAGGAGCCUUCUCUGCGCCCUGGGACUUGCUCUGUUAACCCUGCUCAGGCAGGGGAAGACUGUAUGGGAGACAUGAGUUCCUCAUGUCACGGAUUUUCAGAUAGAGGCCAUCGGUGUGGCUCUGGAGUGGACUGCGGCCAGAUCUCUCCUGUGUCACUUGCUGGUCAGGUGACUGCGUCUGUGUACCGAGUUUUCUGGAAGAGAGGCUGAUGAGGCCUGUCCACAGGCUUCCUGUGAGGAUGUAGCUGGACACUGCCAGAGCCAGGUUCGCGCUUAGCUGGCCUGACCUCUCACUUCAUGUCUGUGGACUUGUCGUGCGUUGUACAUAGUGCCAUAUGUAAUGAGAUACAUGUAUAUGCACAUGCAUACUUAAUAU